AAAGGCCCAGCAGCCCUGGAGUCAAAGCUGGUUCCUGGCCCAGUCCCUUCCUGAAGCAGCCUGCCUCCCCUUUCCUUUCAACAUGACAGAUGCUGCUGUGUCCUUUGCCAAGGACUUCCUGGCGGGUGGAGUGGCCCCAGCCAUCUCCAAGACAGCGGUAGCGCCCAUCGAGCAGGUCAAGCUGCUGCUGCAGGUGCAGCAUGCCAGCAAGCAGAUCACUGCAGAUAAGCAAUACAGGGGCAUUAUAGACUGCAUGAUCCGUAUUCACAAGGAGCAGGGAGUCCUAUCCUUCUGGCAUGGUAACCUGUCCAAUGUCAUCAGAUACUUCCCCACCCAGGUUUUCAAUUUCACCUUCAAAGAUAAAUACAAGCAGAUCUUCUUGAGUGGUGUGGACAAGAGGACCCAGUUAUGGGGCUACUUUGCAGGGAAUCUGGCAUCAGGUGGUGCCGCUGGGGCCACAUCCUUGUGUUUUGUGUACCCUCUUAAUUUUGCCCGUACCCAUCUAGCAGCCGACGUGGGAAUCUGAAGCCUCGGUGACUGCCUGGUUAAGUUCUACAAAUCUGAUGGGAUUAAGGGCCUUUACCAAGGCUUUAACGUGUCUGUGCAGGGGAUUAUCAUCUACCGAGCUGCCUACUUCGGUAUCUAUGACACUGCAAAGGGAAUAUUUCCAGAUCCCAAGAACACUCACAUUGUCGUCAGCUGGAUGAUCGCACAGACUGUCACUGCCAUUGCUGGGUUGACUUUCUAUCCAUUUGACGCCGUUCGCUGCCGCGUGAUGAUGCAUCACGGCGCAAAGGAACUGACGUCAUGUAUACAGGCACGCUUGACUGCUGGAGGAAGAUUGCUCGUGAUGAAGGAGGCAAAGCAUUUUUCAAGGGUGUAUGGUCCAAUGCUCUCAGAGGCAUGGGUGGUGCUUUUGUGCUUGUCUUGUAUGAUGGAAUCAAGAAGAAUACAUAAAUUAUUUCCUAGGAUUUUUCCCCCUGUGA